rnacentral:tRNA from 1 species
UAAAACAUAGCAUAUUUAAUGUACUUUAUUUACACUAAAGAGAAGGUAAUUAUUACUUGUUUUAA